UUUUGCUAUAUAGGGCUGGAAGCACCUGACCUCGUCUAAACUUGGAAGCUAAGCAGACCAGGGUCUGUAGGUAGCUGGAUGGGGCGAAAA
rnacentral:rRNA from 1 species